rnacentral:rRNA from 1 species
UACGGAGGGUGCAAGCGUUAUCCGGAAUUAUUGGGCGUAAAGAGUCUGUAGGCGGUUUAUUAAGUCUGGUAUUAAAUCUCACGGCCCAACCGUGAGGCUGUAUUGGAAACUGGUAGACUAGAGACUUUCAGAGGUGCGCGGAAUUCUGUGUGUAGGGGGUAAAAAUCCCGUAGAUACACAGAAGAACACCAAAAGCGUAGGCAGCGUACUGGGAAAGUUCUGACGCUAAAGGACGAAAGCGUGGGGGAGCGAACGGGGAUUAG